AACGUAGGAGGCGAGCGUUAUCCGGAGUUACUGGGCGUAAAGCGCGUGCAGGCGGCUGGGUAAGUGGGUCGUGAAAGCCCCCGGCUAAACUGGGGGAGGACGAUUCAGACUGCCUGGCUAGAGUGGGGUAGAGGGACGUGGAAUUCCGGGUGUAGCGGUGAAAUGUGCAGAGAUCCGGAGGAACACCAGCGGUGCAGACGGCGUCCUGGGCCCUAACUGACGCUAAGACGCGAAAGCGUGGGGAGCGAACGGG
rnacentral:rRNA from 1 species